rnacentral:rRNA from 1 species
UUUAUGGAGAGUUUGAUCCUGGCUCAGGACGAACGCUGGCGGCGUGCCUAAUACAUGCAAGUCGAGCGGAUCGAUGGGAGCUUGCUCCCUGAGAUCAGCGGCGGACGGGUGAGUAACACGUGGGUAACCUGCCUGUAAGACUGGGAUAACUCCGGGAAACCGGGGCUAAUACCGGAUAACACCUACCCCCGCAUGGGGGAAGGUUGAAAGGUGGCUUCAGCUAUCACUUACAGAUGGACCCGCGGCGCAUUAGCUAGUUGGUGAGGUAACGGCUCACCAAGGCGACGAUGCGUAGCCGACCUGAGAGGGUGAUCGGCCACACUGGGACUGAGACACGGCCCAGACUCCUACGGGAGGCAGCAGUAGGGAAUCUUCCGCAAUGGACGAAAGUCUGACGGAGCAACGCCGCGUGAGU